rnacentral:rRNA from 1 species
UCCCGCCGGCGGACCGGCGCACGGGUGAGUAACACGUAUGAAACCUGCCCGUAGCAGGGGGAUAAGCGGAAGAAAUUCCGUCUAAUACCGCGUAACAACCCGAGGAGGCAUCUCCUCGGGUUUAAAGGAAGCGAUUCCGGCUACGGAUGGUCAUGCGUCGCAUUAGCUAGUUGGCGGGGUAACGGCCCACCAAGGCGACGAUGCGUAGGGGUUCUGAGAGGAAGGUCCCCCACACUGGUACUGAGACACGGACCAGACUCCUACGGGAGGCAGCAG